rnacentral:lncRNA from 1 species
CCUGUUUAUACAUUUUUGCUAGAGAUUUGAGGAGUGCUUCUGGAGGGCAGGAAAUGUAUUUUGAAUGUUAACUGAGGGGAAUUUACUUGUGACUUUUGUUUUCAGUUGAGUUGAUUCUGUGUUGGGUUAAAGACAUGAAUUCUGACCUACUCAUAGAGUUAAUUUCACUCUGUCUACUGAAGAGAUUAAUUAAAUACACCAUUAUAGUGACUAUAUUUGAUCUUAUAUUUGCCAUGUGGUUCUGUGAUGUCUGCUUAUUGCUCCUUUGUUGUUUCCUUUGUUUAUUAGGACAUAGUUCUUUGGAGAUCUGGGGAACUGAUGAAGCUCAGCUAUUGUAGCAUCUAAAAUUCACAGGUUCAUGGUGACUUCCGCUUUCCAACUUGGUCUUGACUUUUUUAAAUGACUAAAUAAAACGAGUGAAUCAAUAUUUAAAGAAAGUUUUUCUUGACUUGAUUUGUUUUUAUUAAACUUUUGAAGUUUGAGAUGAGGAGAAAGAUGUGCUUUUAAAGAAUGAAGCCUUCAGUGGGAUGCUUAAAAUACCUUGGGACUUUUCUUUUUUCUUCAGUGCUUGAUUAAAGGUACAGGCUGAAGCAAGAAAAAAAAAAAUGAGUGAGGUCAACUCAUUCUUUCUAGAUUUAGUUGCUUAACAGUGCCUGCUGCAUUCUGUUGGUAAGGACCAGUUUGACCUCACUCACAGAUAAAGAGGUUAAAGAUUAUAUAAGGCAUAGAAAAGUCCUUGUUGCUCAGUUAGCCAAAGUGAUAUACUAGCCAUUUUUUUUCUCUUUGUAAGUUAACUCUUUCUCUCCCUUCUCUCCUUAUCACUGAUAGGUAGUGCUAACAAGUGAUCUGAUUCUUUGUCUUAGAUCUACAUUGAGGCCCUAAAGUAAUGCCUGCAUAUAUAGUAUCUUUAGUACAUUUUUGCCCCUUCUUUUACUGCAGUACCUGCAUGUUUGUCCUCACAGCUUACAUAGGAAGACAAGUACCAUCCACAUGCAAAUAGCCUCCAUUAGCAUGAAUCAUACAAUACGAUGCUGCCAUUGAUUAUGUAUCCCAGGCGAGAGAUACUGGUGUUAGCCUCAGUACUAGGGUUGGGUGACUAAACUUGCCAUAAUGGGAUGAAACUCUGCAUAGAU